rnacentral:tRNA from 1 species
UAGGUUGAAGCUUAUUAGAUUUGAGCACCUGGCCGUUAACCAGGAGGAAGCAGGAUCAAAGCCUGUUAACCUAG